rfam:Salmo salar isolate Sally breed double haploid chromosome ssa06, whole genome shotgun sequence.
CUAUAUAUACCCUGUAGAUCCGGAUUUGUGUGAACAGACUCACGGUCACAAAUUCGUGUCUAAGGGAGUAUGUAGU